AACGUAGGACGCAAGCGUUGUCCGGAAUCAUUGGGCGUAAAGCGCGUGUAGGCGGCUUGGUAAGUCCGCUCUGAAAGCCCGGGGCUCAACCCCGGGAGGCGGGUGGAUACUGUCAAGCUCGAGUCCGGAAGAGGCGAGUGGAAUUCCUGGUGUAGCGGUGAAAUGCGCAGAUAUCAGGAGGAACACCAAUGGCGAAGGCAGCUCGCUGGGACGUGACUGACGCUGAGACGCGAAAGCGUGGGGAGCAAACAGG
rnacentral:rRNA from 1 species